rnacentral:rRNA from 1 species
AGCGAACGCUGGCGGCAGGCUUAACACAUGCAAGUCGAACGGGCAUAGCAAUAUGUCAGUGGCAGACGGGUGAGUAACGCGUGGGAACGUACCUUUUGGUUCGGAACAACACAGGGAAACUUGUGCUAAUACCGGCUAAGCCCUUACGGGGAAAGAUUUAUCGCCGAAAGAUCGGCCCGCGUCUGAUUAGCUAGUUGGUAGGGUAAUGGCCUACCAAGGCGACGAUCAGUAGCUGGUCUGAGAGGAUGAUCAGCCACAUUGGGACUGAGACACGGCCCAAACUCCUACGGGAGGCAGCAGUGGGGAAUAUAGGACAGUGGGCGAAAGCCUGAUCCAGCCAGGCCGCGAGAGUGAUGAAGGCCCUAGGGUGGUAAAGCUCUUUUGGGCGGGAAGAUAAUGACGGGACCGCAAGAAAAAGCCCCGGCUAACUUCGU